UACGAAGGGGCUAGCGUUGUUCGGAAUUACUGGGCGUAAAGCGCGUGUAGGCGGGUCUUUAAGUCAGGGGUGAAAUGCCAAGGCUCAACCUUGGAACUGCCUUUGAUACUGGAGACUUGAGUCCGGGAGAGGUGAGUGGAAUUGCGAGUGUAGAGGUGGAAAUUCGUAGAUAUUCGCAAGAACACCAGUGGCGAAGGCGGCUCACUGGCCCGGAACUGACGC
rnacentral:rRNA from 1 species